rnacentral:SRP_RNA from 1 species
CCGCGGGCUAAGCCCUGGGGUGCUACCCCUACCCUUACGGGAGCAAGACUCCCGUACCGCAAACGGGGUUUAUGGCGGGGGGCGUUAACCCUAGGGGCGCCUCUCCUCUUCACGGAUACGGUCCAGUUUCCCUGGCGUUGACCCUCAGUCCCGUGGGACGUUCCGUGGUGCUAGGCCUUUCGGAGGGGGGGCUGAAGCACCGGUCAGGCUGAAGCGGGUUAGGCCCGGAAGGGAGCAGCCCUAAGGCCUGCGGAACGUGUUCACGGGGGUACUGAGGUGAGCUCAGGGGGCUGGAGCCGGUCCGUGAACGGGAGGCCACUCUAGGGGAGGCCGCGG